rnacentral:rRNA from 1 species
AGGGUGUAAACGCUGCAGACUUGGUGUUGGAAGCCCUUUGGGGGGCAUUCAGUGCCGGAGAGAAGUUGUUAAGUCUGCUACUUGGGGAGUACGUCCGCAAGGAUGAAACUUAAAGGAAUUGGCGGGGGAGGCACCGCAACGGGAGGAGCGUGCGGUUUAAUUGGAUUCAACACCGUAAAACUCACCAGGGAAGACUGUUACAUGAAGGCCGAGAUGAAGACUCUGCUAGAUUUUCAGAGAGGUGGUGCAUGGCGUCAGUGACU